GACGAACGCUGGCGGCGUGCUUAACACAUGCAAGUCGAACGAAGCUUGAUUACGGUUUCUUCGUUUGAAGUAUGAUAUGACGGAGUGGAGGACGGGUGAGUCACGCCUGAGUAACCUGCCAUUCUGAGGGGGAUAGCGUUUGGAAACGAACGGUAAUACCGCAUAAUGGAUUUUGACGGAAUGAUCGAAAUACCAAAGAUUUAUCGCUGAAGGAUGGACUCGUGUCUGAGUAGGUAGUUGGAGGGGUAACGGACUACCAAGCGGACGAUCAGUAGCCGGAGUGAGAGGAGACGCGCCCACAUUGUGACGGAGGCACGACCCGGACUCCUACGGCAGGCAGCGGUAGCGUAUAGGACACAAUGGGCGCAAGCCUGAUGCAGCAACGCCGCGUGAAGGAAGACUGUUUGCGGAGAAUAAACUUCUGUGCUUAGUGAAGAAUAAUGACGGUAGCUAAGGAGAAAGCCACGGCUAACUACGUG
rnacentral:rRNA from 1 species